rnacentral:rRNA from 1 species
AUACGGAGGAUCCGAGCGUUAUCCGGAUUUAUUGGGUUUAAAGGGUGCGCAGGCGGGAGAUUAAGUCGGCGGUGAAAUUUUGCAGCUCAACUGUAAAAGUGCCUUCGAAACUGGUUUCCUUGAGUGUAGAUGAAGUAGGCGGAAUUUGUGGUGUAGCGGUGAAAUGCAUAGAUAUCACGGGGAACUCCGAUUGCGCAGGCAGCUUACUAAACUACUACUGACGCUCAGGCACGAAGGCGUGGGGAUCAAACAGGAUUAGAUACCCUGGUAGUCCACGCAGUAAACGAUGAUUACUAGCUGUUUGCGAUACAAUGUAAGCGGCUGAGCGAAAGCGUUAAGUAAUCCACCUGGGGAGUACGUUCGCAAGAAUGAAACUCAAAGGAAUUGACGGGG